UACGUAGGGUGCGAGCGUUGUCCGGAUUUAUUGGGCGUAAAGAGCUCGUAGGCGGUUUGUCGCGUCGGCCGUGAAAUCUCCACGCUUAACGUGGAGCGUGCGGUCGAUACGGGCAGACUUGAGUUCGGUAGGGGAGACUGGAAUUCCUGGUGUAGCGGUGAAAUGCGCAGGUAUCAGGAGGAGCACCGGUGGCGAAGGCGGGUCUCUGGGCCGAUACUGACGCUGAGGAGCGAAAGCGUGGGGAGCGAACAGG
rnacentral:rRNA from 1 species